UGGUUGUCACACAGUAACAGACAGAAUUGUAACUAAAUUUAUAGAAGAUGCAAUUAAAGAAUAUAAGAAGAUUAAAAGAAAACACAGAUCAAAAGCAGACAAGGGACUUCAUUUGUCUCCGGAGAYUUCUCCAACCUCUUUGCCUUUCCUUACAAAAAUCCUUGAUGCUGGCAUUUUUGGAAGUUCUGAUGAUUUUGAUCAACCCUAUUCUGACCAAAACACGCUGGUGAAACAAACACAAAAGCAAUACUUAUACAAAUUGGAUCAGUGGCACUCAGCUCCUUGGAAGAAAACUGUGGAAGUUCCUCUUGUCAUACCACAUAACAGUUCUUAUGUUAAAAAUCUGUCUGCAUAUGCUGUGGAAGAAUUAUGGACCCCAGAGAACAUAAAUUCAAAUUUCAGGAACAUCAAUGUGCCGAAGUACUUUGAAUAUAAUGAUCUCCCMGGGAAUGAUUUGGAAGCAGAAAGCAAGAGGAUGUAUAAUCAGGUUGUAUUUGAUUUGAGCCGUGAGUUGCUGUGUGCAGAAUAUCAAGUGACUGCAAAGCCAAAUACGUUUCCAUGGAUGAAAAAAAAUAUUGGAUCUCACUGUUCCAGGCAUCUCUGCAGAAGGAUGGAUGUCAGUGAUGUCAAGAUUCAGGAGCUCCGCAAAGAAGAAUCUCAGUGGACUUCCUAUGGUGAUGAUGAAUUAACAGUGAAGAUGAGGAUGACUGAAGCCAUAUUUGAUAGCUUGAUCCUUGAUACAAUCAGCAUUCUUAAUGAGAUUUAUCCUAGAAAAGCCUGUUUUAAAGCUGACUGUGRCACUGGUUAAAAGGAGCCUGGAGAUGGCUUCAGAGAAGUGGCAGGACCUAGAGCCAGACAUUCAGGUUAAAUGUCUAUAAUUGUAUGCAAAUGAGACAAAUACURAUGUGAUGCACUUUAAAUUGGAGACUUUUCUACGAGCAACUUCAAUUUCUAACAAUUAGAUAGGUGCCUGUAAUUGGGUUAUUUAUCAUGCAAUUCACAGGAGCCUGUUGAAUUUUUACAAUAUCUAAAUGUGGGGUGCUGAGAAUGUACUUUAAUAGAYAAAACAGAGGAAAUCAAUGCUCCCUUUGUAUUGGCAAACAGGAAAAAUCAAGACUCUAACMAGGAAAUAGAAGCAUUCUCUGAGGAUGGUAAUUGGUCACUAUGUAAAUUGCUGUGGUUCCACCUAUUUUGCAUUGAGGAGAGCAAAUUUUUAUUAGUUCAUUUUAAAAUAAAUACUGCACAAAUAUUUCUUASUGGAAUUCAGAAACUGUUCAUUAUUGAAUAAUUGGUUGUAAAGAGAUCAGUUUUUUUCUCCAAUCAAUUCAGGGCAUCUUUCAAAUUAAAUUAAAAUCAGGAUAAAUAAACAUAAAUUAUGAACUUAGAUUUUAAAAUACAAUACUUAACAAUCUUUUUAAGGGGAAUAGAAACAUAUUAUAUAUUUGUAUUUUUAAAUAGUGCUGGCUUAGUUGUCUUUGUACUUGUUUUCUGAAUAAAYACAAUAAGCCGUGUGUAUCGUAUUUUAUUUAUUUUCACUUAUAUUAAUUAGAAUUGCAGAUUAUAUUGUCCCCACUGCUCUUCUCAGCAGUGAAUGGGUGCACUUUUGUUUUGCUGGGCACAUUAAACCCUCCCCUGYUUGUUGCCAUAUGAACAGAAAUAAAAAGGCAAUUUCUGCCCCCAGCACAUUAACUGUUGAUCUUAUCCUAUAAACUAUUUCCAUGUCUCUGGUGCUACAUUUCCUUGUCUCUUUUAUCGUCAUUGAUUAGUUAAUCCAUAUAAGUUACUUGUUUUCUUGUUGCCAGUUUACAGCAG